UGAAAUCUGGACAAUCAGUUAUGGAUUGCCAACGUUAUGGUAGUAAAAUAGCAUCUUCUGUUGCAACUAAGGAAGUGGAUAUAGGUAGUACUGAACCUGCUGGAAAAUUGUUCUCCAUCUCUGCCAUGCCCUUUUACAAAGACAAGAGCCAUGAAGAGCUGAGGUUCGAGGACUCUAAUCAAUUGUUAAGGAGUAAAGGUAAGUAUAAGGUCAUAUAGUUGUUUUUGUCUGAUGAUCUCUACUUUUGUUCCCGAUAAAGACUUUAUGAACAUUCCUGCAGCUGCAUUUGUUCCACAACAUCUAUUACAACAUGUUUAGCAUCAGCUUUGCCUGCCUCUAAUUCUGUUACAUCUUCAGAUGCAGCUUCUGGAUUCAUCUUUCAGUCUAAUCAACCCUCAGCUGGCAAGACAAACGCUUUUUUAGGGCCUACUGCUGUCACUCCACAUAGUCAACUAAAAACAUCAAGUGCAAUAUCAAUUGUAUCAGGACCUUGGACAGGCAAUUCAACUGGUUUUUCUUAUAUUGGUGACCAAUGUCGUGGAAGUAAAAUAGCAUCUUAUGUUGCAACUAGGGAAGUGGAUAUAGAUAGUACAGAACCUGCUGGAAAAUUGUUCUCCAUCUCUGCCAUGCCCAUUUACAAAGUCAAGAGCCAUGAAGAGCUGAGGUUCGAGGACUCUCAUCAAUUCAUAGGGAGUAAAGGUAAGUAUAAGUUCGUACAGUUGUUGCAUUGGUCUGAUGAUCUCUACUUUUGUUCCCAAUAAAGACAUUAUCAUCUGUCCUACAGAUGGACUACUUUCUCAGCAUCUUUUACAACAUCUUUAGCAUCAGCUUUGCCUGCUGCUAAUUUUUUUUACAUCUUCA
rnacentral:lncRNA from 1 species